CGGAGUAUAGCAUAUAUAAUGCUUUUUACUUACACUAAAACUAAAACACUAGUUUACUCCGC
rnacentral:tRNA from 1 species